GGUUAAGCGACUAAGCGUACACGGUGGAUGCCCUGGCAGUCAGAGGCGAUGAAGGACGUGCUAAUCUGCGAUAAGCGUCGGUAAGGUGAUAUGAACCGUUAUAACCGGCGAUUUCCGAAUGGGGAAACCCAGUGUGUUUCGACACACUAUCAUUAACUGAAUCCAUAGGUUAAUGAGGCGAACCGGGGGAACUGAAACAUCUAAGUACCCCGAGGAAAAGAAAUCAACCGAGAUUCCCCCAGUAGCGGCGAGCGAACGGGGAGCAGCCCAGAGCCUGAAUCAGUGUGUGUGUUAGUGGAAGCGUCUGGAAAGGCGCGCGAUACAGGGUGACAGCCCCGUACACAAAAAUGCACAUGCUGUGAGCUCGAUGAGUAGGGCGGGACACGUGGUAUCCUGUCUGAAUAUGGGGGGACCAUCCUCCAAGGCUAAAUACUCCUGACUGACCGAUAGUGAACCAGUACCGUGAGGGAAAGGCGAAAAGAACCCCGGCGAGGGGAGUGAAAAAGAACCUGAAACCGUGUACGUACAAGCAGUGGGAGCCUCUUUUAUGGGGUGACUGCGUACCUUUUGUAUAAUGGGUCAGCGACUUAUAUUCUGUAGCAAGGUUAACCGAAUAGGGGAGCCGAAGGGAAACCGAGUCUUAACUGGGCGUUAAGUUGCAGGGUAUAGACCCGAAACCCGGUGAUCUAGCCAUGGGCAGGUUGAAGGUUGGGUAACACUAACUGGAGGACCGAACCGACUAAUGUUGAAAAAUUAGCGGAUGACUUGUGGCUGGGGGUGAAAGGCCAAUCAAACCGGGAGAUAGCUGGUUCUCCCCGAAAGCUAUUUAGGUAGCGCCUCGUGAAUUCAUCUCCGGGGGUAGAGCACUGUUUCGGCAAGGGGGUCAUCCCGACUUACCAACCCGAUGCAAACUGCGAAUACCGGAGAAUGUUAUCACGGGAGACACACGGCGGGUGCUAACGUCCGUCGUGAAGAGGGAAACAACCCAGACCGCCAGCUAAGGUCCCAAAGUCAUGGUUAAGUGGGAAACGAUGUGGGAAGGCCCAGACAGCCAGGAUGUUGGCUUAGAAGCAGCCAUCAUUUAAAGAAAGCGUAAUAGCUCACUGGUCGAGUCGGCCUGCGCGGAAGAUGUAACGGGGCUAAACCAUGCACCGAAGCUGCGGCAGCGACGCUUAUGCGUUGUUGGGUAGGGGAGCGUUCUGUAAGCCUGUGAAGGUGUGCUGUGAGGCAUGCUGGAGGUAUCAGAAGUGCGAAUGCUGACAUAAGUAACGAUAAAGCGGGUGAAAAGCCCGCUCGCCGGAAGACCAAGGGUUCCUGUCCAACGUUAAUCGGGGCAGGGUGAGUCGACCCCUAAGGCGAGGCCGAAAGGCGUAGUCGAUGGGAAACAGGUUAAUAUUCCUGUACUUGGUGUUACUGCGAAGGGGGGACGGAGAAGGCUAUGUUGGCCGGGCGACGGUUGUCCCGGUUUAAGCGUGUAGGCUGGUUUUCCAGGCAAAUCCGGAAAAUCAAGGUUGAGGCGUGAUGACGAGGCACUACGGUGCUGAAGCAACAAAUGCCCUGCUUCCAGGAAAAGCCUCUAAGCAUCAGGUAACAUCAAAUCGUACCCCAAACCGACACAGGUGGUCAGGUAGAGAAUACCAAGGCGCUUGAGAGAACUCGGGUGAAGGAACUAGGCAAAAUGGUGCCGUAACUUCGGGAGAAGGCACGCUGAUAUGUAGGUGAAGCGACUUGCUCGUGGAGCUGAAAUCAGUCGAAGAUACCAGCUGGCUGCAACUGUUUAUUAAAAACACAGCACUGUGCAAACACGAAAGUGGACGUAUACGGUGUGACGCCUGCCCGGUGCCGGAAGGUUAAUUGAUGGGGUCAGCGCAAGCGAAGCUCUUGAUCGAAGCCCCGGUAAACGGCGGCCGUAACUAUAACGGUCCUAAGGUAGCGAAAUUCCUUGUCGGGUAAGUUCCGACCUGCACGAAUGGCGUAAUGAUGGCCAGGCUGUCUCCACCCGAGACUCAGUGAAAUUGAACUCGCUGUGAAGAUGCAGUGUACCCGCGGCAAGACGGAAAGACCCCGUGAACCUUUACUAUAGCUUGACACUGAACAUUGAGCCUUGAUGUGUAGGAUAGGUGGGAGGCUUAGAAGUGUGGACGCCAGUCUGCAUGGAGCCGACCUUGAAAUACCACCCUUUAAUGUUUGAUGUUCUAACGUUGACCCGUAAUCCGGGUUGCGGACAGUGUCUGGUGGGUAGUUUGACUGGGGCGGUCUCCUCCUAAAGAGUAACGGAGGAGCACGAAGGUUGGCUAAUCCUGGUCGGACAUCAGGAGGUUAGUGCAAUGGCAUAAGCCAGCUUGACUGCGAGCGUGACGGCGCGAGCAGGUGCGAAAGCAGGUCAUAGUGAUCCGGUGGUUCUGAAUGGAAGGGCCAUCGCUCAACGGAUAAAAGGUACUCCGGGGAUAACAGGCUGAUACCGCCCAAGAGUUCAUAUCGACGGCGGUGUUUGGCACCUCGAUGUCGGCUCAUCACAUCCUGGGGCUGAAGUAGGUCCCAAGGGUAUGGCUGUUCGCCAUUUAAAGUGGUACGCGAGCUGGGUUUAGAACGUCGUGAGACAGUUCGGUCCCUAUCUGCCGUGGGCGCUGGAGAACUGAGGGGGGCUGCUCCUAGUACGAGAGGACCGGAGUGGACGCAUCACUGGUGUUCGGGUUGUCAUGCCAAUGGCACUGCCCGGUAGCUAAAUGCGGAAGAGAUAAGUGCUGAAAGCAUCUAAGCACGAAACUUGCCCCGAGAUGAGUUCUCCCUGACCCUUUAAGGGUCCUGAAGGAACGUUGAAGACGACGACGUUGAUAGGCCGGGUGUGUAAGCGCAGCGAUGCGUUGAGCUAACCGGUACUAAUGAACCGUGAGGCUUAACCUU
rnacentral:rRNA from 1 species